rnacentral:rRNA from 1 species
CAGGCUUAACACAUGCAAGUCGAGGGGCAGCAUGGUCUUAGCUUGCUAAGGCCGAUGGCGACCGGCGCACGGGUGAGUAACACGUAUCCAACCUGCCGUCUACUCUUGGACAGCCUUCUGAAAGGAAGAUUAAUACAAGAUGGCAUCAUGAGUCCGCAUGUUCACAUGAUUAAAGGUAUUCCGGUAGACGAUGGGGAUGCGUUCCAUUAGAUAGUAGGCGGGGUAACGGCCCACCUAGUCUUCGAUGGAUAGGGGUUCUGAGAGGAAGGUCCCCCACAUUGGAACUGAGACACGGUCCAAACUCCUACGGGAGGCAGCAGUGAGGAAUAUUGGUCAAUGGGCGAGAGCCUGAACCAGCCAAGUAGCGUGAAGGAUGACUGCCCUAUGGGUUGUAAACUUCUUUUAUAAAGGAAUAAAGUCGGGUAUGGAUACCCGUUUGCAUGUACUUUAUGAAUAAGGAUCGGCUAACUCCGUGCCAGCAGCCGCGGUAAUACGGAGGAUCCGAGCGUUAUCCGGAUUUAUUGGGUUUAAAGGGAGCGUAGAUGGAUGUUUAAGUCAGUUGUGAAAGUUUGCGGCUCAACCGUAAAAUUGCAGUUGAUACUGGAUAUCUUGAGUGCAGUUGAGGCAGGCGGAAUUCGUGGUGUAGCGGUGAAAUGCUUAGAUAUCACGAAGAACUCCGAUUGCGAAGGCAGCCUGCUAAGCUGCAACUGACAUUGAGGCUCGAAAGUGUGGGUAUCAAACAGGAUUAGAUACCCUGGUAGUCCACACGGUAAACGAUGAAUACUCGCUGUUUGCGAUAUACUGCAAGCGGCCAAGCGAAAGCGUUAAGUAUUCCACCUGGGGAGUACGCCGGCAACGGUGAAACUCAAAGGAAUUGACGGGGGCCCGCACAAGCGGAGGAAUAUGUGGUUUAAUUCGAUGAUACGCGAGGAACCUUACCCGGGCUUAAAUUGCAGAUGAAUUACGGUGAAAGCCGUAAGCCGCAAGGCAUCUGUGAAGGUGCUGCAUGGUUGUCGUCAGCUCGUGCCGUGAGGUGUCGGCUUAAGUGCCAUAACGAGCGCAACCCUUGUUGUCAGUUACUAACAGGUUCCGCUGAGGACUCUGACAAGACUGCCAUCGUAAGAUGUGAGGAAGGUGGGGAUGACGUCAAAUCAGCACGGCCCUUACGUCCGGGGCUACACACGUGUUACAAUGGGGGGUACAGAGGGCCGCUACCACGCGAGUGGAUGCCAAUCCCCAAAACCUCUCUCAGUUCGGACUGGAGUCUGCAACCCGACUCCACGAAGCUGGAUUCGCUAGUAAUCGCGCAUCAGCCACGGCGCGGUGAAUACGUUCCCGGGCCUUGUACACACCGCCCGUCAAGCCAUGGGAGCCGGGGGUACCUGAAGUGCGUAACCGCGAGGAGCGCCCUAGGGUAAAACUGGUGACUGGGGCUA